rnacentral:rRNA from 1 species
GUACACGCUGUGACUAGCAUAUCAAUAAGCGGAGGAAAAGAAACUAACAAGGAUUCCCCUAGUAACGGCGAGUGAAGCGGGAAGAGCUCAAAUUUGAAAUCUUAAAGGGUUUCCCUUUACGAAUUGUAGUUUAAAGAAGUGUUUUCUGUUGAGGUUUUGGUAAAAGUUCUUUGGAAUAGGACAUCAUAGAGGGUGAGAAUCCCGUAUUUGACCUUUACUUUCAACUUUGUGAUACACUUUCAAAGAGUCGGAUUGUUUGGGAAUGCAGUCCAAAAUGGGUGGUAAAUUUCAUCUAAAGCUAAAUAUUGGCGAGAGACCGAUAGCGAACAAGUACCGUGAGGGAAAGAUGAAAAGAACUUUGAAAAGAGAGUUAAACAGUACGUGAAAUUGUCAAAAGGGAAGCGUUUGACACCAGUGUUGUUUUUCUGAAAAUCAAUUAAAGAACUGUUUAUGCUAAGCUGUUUAGACUUUAUCAGCUAUCUGUUUAGUUUUGAGCUUUUCUUUAAUGCACUUUUCAGUUAACAAGUCAACAUCAAUUUCUUUUGCUGUAAAAAAGCUUGAGGAAGGUGGCUUGAGAUUCGUCUUAAGUGUUUAUAGCCUCUUGCCUAUGCAGUCGGAGAGAUUGAGGUCUGCAGCGUAGAUCCUUCGGGGCUAAAUGCAUUUGUGCUAAGUUAUAGCAUUUUAUAGACAACUUGUUGACUAUGAUUUGUCUUGUAGCUUACUCGCUUAUGUUAUUUUACCUACGCUUAGGAUGUUGAAGACUCUACAGAGAUA